UACGAAGGGGGCGAGCGUUGUUCGGAUUUACUGGGCGUAAAGGGCGCGUAGGCGGCCCUCCUAGUCGCGUGUGAAAUCCCCGGGCUCAACCUGGGAAUGGCAGUGGAUACUGGCAAGCUAGAGUGUGUCAGAGGAUGGUGGAAUUCCCGGUGUAGCGGUGAAAUGCGUAGAGAUCGGGAGGAACAUCAGUGGCGAAGGCGGCCAUCUGGGACAACACUGACGCUGAGGCACGAAAGCGUGGGGAGCAAACAGG
rnacentral:rRNA from 1 species